rnacentral:rRNA from 1 species
GUGCCAGCAGCCGCGGUAAUACGUAGGGUGCAAGCGUUAAUCGGAAUUACUGGGCGUAAAGCGUGCGCAGGCGGUUAUAUAAGUCAGAUGUGAAAUCCCCGGGCUCAACCUGGGAACUGCAUUUGAGACUGUAUGGCUAGAGUGUGUCAGAGGGGGGUAGAAUUCCACGUGUAGCAGUGAAAUGCGUAGAUAUGUGGAGGAAUACCGAUGGCGAAGGCAGCCCCCUGGGAUAACACUGACGCUCAUGCACGAAAGCGUGGGGAGCAAACAGGAUUAGAUACCCUUGUAGUCC